UUCUCUAGGUGCUGUGGACAUUGUGUGCCCCUCUGAUUAGGGAAGCAAUAUAAUAACAGACCAAUUUUGUAAAAAUCUCUAUUAGGAGUUACAUAGCUGUUCCUACUGCUUGUUUUUCUGUGGCCAUUGCAGUGCAAUCGAAAUACUUGCAAAUACUUCUAGUGCAAGCACCCUUAUGUGGAUCGACUCCAAAUCCUUCAGUUGCCCAAUAAAGAGUUCAGAUACAAAUUUUGAAGACUGCAGGAUCUAGAUUUUUUUACAGCUACUGCGAGGCAGCAAACUGACUAUGGGAACCUUCCUGAAAGUCAACCUUUCUGAACUGUGAGAGCUGCUUUUACUGCUUAAGUAUUUCCCAACCUUGUUACUUCAUGAUAUUUGUGACAGCUGUUAUUAAUGCACGCAAGAGACCCCAGCACUGGCAGAAGGGAGAGUGUCUUCACGCUGUUUUGCAACACUGCGCGUUUGAAGUUCCUCAGCUGCGCUGGGAGGAAGUGGUUAUUCAGUUCUGCUGCCAUUUCGCGAAGGAUGAAGCUCCAGUAAACUUUCCCUGCGAGAGUCACCUGGAAACCACAGCGAUAAAACCAAGUAUUUGCCCACUGCCUGCGAAAGGAGAUGCCACCAGCAGGAAACAGGAGCUUAGAACAAGAUCUUUCAGAUUGCCAGAGACCUCCCAUCGUUCCCAGCGCACCACCUUGUGCAACCUUCAGCUGCUCUGUGUGCUUGCUGCCUACUUGGAAGCUCUCUUCCAAGAAGACCUGCUCUACCAGAGUGUAAAGCUUUGCAGGUGCCCUGGGGGAACGUGGUGGUGUGAUGUCUGGACUCAGAGUGCCCUUUGAUGACCACCGCCCUGCACGAUACAAGAGGUACUCGAGGGAGCAAGAAGGUAAAUCAUGUCCUGCUUGGGGCCUGGCUCUUUUUCAUAGUCGUUUUGUAGUUCCUGCUCCAGGAACCGCUUUUGUGAAUGAGGGUGAUCAGCAUAGACUAGAAUAGGGCAAGAGUGGACUGGCAGUGUUCAGUAAAGUGGACAGGAAAGACAGAAUUUUUUGUGCAUCCUUCACCCUCUAACAAAGGCUAAAAUCCCUUCUUGUUUCAGCAAAGCAAAAGAACGUGCACAUAGCUUGGGCACAAGUGUCUCUUGUCUGCUACACCCAAAUUUCAAAAUCCCCGUGAACCAUUGUAUUCCUUUAUCACUCCCCUACAAUGCCACACUACCUUCAUUUUUAUCCCUUAGCUUCCUUUCAGGGAGUUGCUUUUCAUGUCUAAUUUUAGGCCUGAUCCUGCAGUUGCUGGUACUGUGUGUUUCAACUUCCUAUUUAAAAGCUGAUUUCAGGACACUAACCUGUAACGAACUGUCUUCUGAACUGUAAUUUGUUUGCUCUUCCAGGAGACUAUAACCACAUCACGCAGAAUCAUUAUGUGUUCUGGAUCCUCACACCUCUUCCCCUCUGAACCUACUCACCUUGCUAGGAACAUCCCUAACAAAUCAAUACUGCUAAUUGGUAGAUUGUUGUUUUAAGAGCAGGUCCUUCAUUAGAGUAGAUCAGCAUGGAAUUUAUCAGUAAUGUAUUCCAUAACUGUAGUAAAUAAAAAGACUUCUACGUCUUCCCACUUCUGCCAUUGAUAGAUGUGUUUUAACAACCCUUAAGCCUCCCUAUAGGAAUGCUACCUCUGGGCAGCUGUAUUGGUGUGAUGGCCCUCUUUCGCGUGAUGCAGCAACAAGGCGCCGAUGGAUGGAUCUGAUGGCCUCAUAGUGGGGAAGUGUGUUCCUGGAGAGCUAUUACUGGGAUGGAAAUGCAGGAUCCAGGUGAGCCUGCACUGAGGUACCUGACCAUGGGAAAAGAUGCCCUGCUUGAAAACACACACUUUACUGUGCCCACCACACUUGUGUCUGUAACAGGCACUACUGCUUCAAUAUACCGUUUAACUGAAUGGAAAGUAUGAUGUGUUUUAGGGGUAAUGCCAUGGCGUGAAUAAGGAGGAGGACUGGAAGACAGAGGCUCUAUAUGGAGUUGUGCCCCCUUAUUCACCUCUCUGUGCUGCUCUUCUCUUCUAGCUCUUUGACUGUCCUGUCAAACAUCUGGGGACUAGAGAUGGGCUUUUGCAAAGUGCUUGGACAACUGAUGUCAGUCAGGCUGGGAACUCCUCUAGAUCUUGUCUUCUAGGCGCUCUGUAUGAAGUGUCUUCACGGACUUGCUUGGUGACUCUGGCAGUGCCAAGUAGGGUCAGUGCUUUAGGAGCAGUUCCUUAAAUGCACCCACUAGGUAAACCCCAGCUUUUCUCAUGGGUGACAGAUGUUCCUAGUGGUAAGGAUCAACCACUGCUCAAGCUUAGGGCCCAAACUAGGGCUGCUCUCGGCGGAGGGAGCAGAGGCCCCUUGUCCCACAGCCAGAACCAAAGAAGGGUUCCUCUCCCUCGGGGCAGCUCGUUCCCACCUGCCAGCAAUUAUGGAAGGUGGCAUUUGGGAAAGUUCAUUCUUCCAUGUGGUGAGCUGAGAAGAGGCCCUGCAGAAGAUGGAGCAGGUGCACUGUGCUGAGGCCAGAAGAGAGCUCAGAGUCACUAAAGUAGAUCUGUAUCACUGAGGGCAAGCCCAGAUGGUGGGGACAGAGGAGUAGGAUGCUAUUUUUGCCUGCAUUCAUGUGUGGUGUGUGUGAGUCACCUCAUACCCUGCCAAGUAGCCCUUUCUCAUGAUAGGUGUUCUUCCUUGAACAUCCUUGUACCUUUGCAUGUCCCUUUGGGUUCAUGAACCUCCUUGAGAUGUGGUGGUGAUGGUCAGAAGUAGGGCUGGUUCCUGUGUGGAUGCCUGAGCUCCCUUCUUUACUGCUUUGCCCCUCCUGUGCACUGGGGUCCCUUAGUCCAAGGAGGUCUGAUGCCCACUCCCCUCUGUAAGACCUAGAGAGAUGGACACCCUGCCCUGUGCUGCUCUCUGUGACCUUUAUCCUGCCUUGCAUCUCGCAGAAAAAGCCUGAGGGCUUUGUCAGCAGACCUGGUUGUACUGUCAGGUUGCUUCCAGCGCUGGUGUUUGUUUAUGUGUGCCCUGUGCUCUCUACUACAUGUGUGCCCUCAUUUUCCUCCUGCUUCAGAGGUGCAGGUGCCUGGCGCAGGUGCUGAGUGUGGUGUGUGCGCCAGCUGCAGCUGGGCUCGUCCCCGACAAGGGGUGCGAGGCUGCAGCUGGAGCAAGGCCUUCUCUAGGGCCUUGUGAGCUUGGCAGCCCUGCCAGGGGCUUGGGCCCUCAUCCUCUCCCCAUGCCCGCGAUGGACAUCUCUGACACGCACCCAACUGGAGGCUCAUCCCUCACCCUACGUGCCGGGAACGUGUGCAACGAACCCUUGUGUGGGCUCGCGUCUUGGAAGAGAAGAUGGCUCUGAAACCUCUGCUGAGCAGGGAAUCGAGCUGUAAAAGCCACUGUCCAGUUUGGUCACACCAUUUUGAGCUCCACCGCUGCACAGGCAGAGGAUUGGGACGCAGCUGCAGGGAGCAGGAAUAAGGAAGCUCAGUGACACGCAGGGGAGUGCUGGUGCGGGUCGAAGAGCCGCCUGGAUGAACGUCAGAAAUACAGCUUGUACAAGCUUCCUCAUAACCCACCAUCUGGUUCAGUGCCGGGGCUGUGUGUGCUGUGGAAAUACCUCGAGUUCCCGACGACGUUCUCGGACACUGUAGGCACAAGACAUCAGGCACACGCCAGGAAGACAGUUUCUGCCCUAAGGGCGGCUUAGCAGCGAGUCUAAAAAGAGGAGGAAUAUUGGAUAUAAUAAACAGGAAGGGAAAGAACGCACCUAAUGCUUUGUAUGCAUGUCUUACACAUUAGAUUUUUAGCUGAAACUCGCUGGCUAAUAGCUACUGGAGGAUAGUACUAGGAAAUAUUACUAUAGCAUACUCUGAAUUCACAUUGAUUUUGUAGAAAAAGAGCUUGAGACUUCCUUUUUUUACGAUGAGAAGCACUGCUGUUCUGAGUAUAAUGGGGUGGCAUGUUGUUUGGAAUUUCCCUUGCUUUCUAUAUAUACACAUGCAUCGAAGCCACAGGAAAUGGAAGUUUAAAAAAAAAAAAGUACCAUAAAACAUAGGUAUCCGCUUCUUGAACAAGUUUUAUUCUUGUAGCUAGUUUUAUUAUUAGUGAGCACUUAAUCUGUAGACAUCAUUUAAGAUGUGUUCUAAAAGAUAUGAUGUCCUAAAUUGCUGGAGAGGAAAGCAGAUAUUGCCUUAAAAGCUGCAGAAGAUUUGAAAAGCAUUUUAAGCUAUAGAUUCUAUAGCUCUGUAUUGCCUUUGCCAUUACUGUUGAUCUCCUUCUCUCCCUUGGGGCUGGGGAUAGGGACUGAACGAUCUCCUGGGGUUUCUCCAAGUUGUAUUUUCUGUGAUUCAACAAGUCAGCCUUGCCUGUAGCUGCUAUCAUGGUUAUGUGCUAUGGGCCUACUUGGCCCAUGGCAACCAGCAUGUACUGGCAUUAUUAAUAAAUAGCAUUUACUUAAAAAUCCCAAUGGAAAUAUAAUUAGACCCAGGAAUAAGGAGAAUCAGUUUGCCAGCAUUUGGAAAAUAUGUGGUCUGAAAAUCUUUGUUGGUGGUGAGAUAGCCACUAGGGAUUCCCUAAGCUUGUCUUGUCUCUGAACUCGCACUAUUUUGGAGAGCACAACUUCAGGGAGAUAAUUUAAUGAAGGAGAACUGUUAGAAGAAGGGUUGGACUAAUCAUGAUGGUAAUUGGACAAAUACAUCUUGGCAUUUCUUAAUAUGCUAAGACAUAUUUCUGCAAGUUCCAAAAGAGACAGUUAUUCUGCCCGCUUCCAGCCUCCCUGGAUCUGCAGAGGUACCUCUGUCUCUCCUUUAAUAUUGGUAUGCCUCUCCAGUAAGGGGAUUGCUCACUAGUAAUAAGAGAUUUACCAAAAAAAUUAACAAAUCUGAAUGGGCAUUAACUUUGCCUCAUAACAGGACUCAGUUAUCUCAGAUGCCUUUUAUUACUGAUACAGCAAAUAAGGAGCUCAGUCCCAUAUGUUCACACAGAUUUUCUGUAUGGUUUCAAGAGUCUCUCGUGUAAGGAAUUGUUUCUGCGAUUUUACAGAUUAUGCUAUGUGUUUCAAUGAACAGAUGUAGUAGAAAUGGAUAAUGAAAGUUCAUAAAGUUUGUGCUGUUGAAGUCCCUUUCA